rnacentral:lncRNA from 1 species
UAGGCAAGAAGCCCGCGGAACACUGAGUGCAAGUGCGUUUGAGGGAGCAGGCACGUACUCAUGAGUGCCUGGAGGUCGCCGCGACGGCGCAGCCUGGAACUGCCAGGCGCGCUGGGCGAAGCUGCAGGUUGUAGUCCGCACCCUAAACGGCUGGCUGCGGUUGGGGCUCGCAGCUUUCCAGCCAAACCUAUGCAAAGCUACAACCCACGCUUUGCAUUUAUUUUAAAGAUACCUGGAGUUUC